AUGGCCGCCUCCCGCAAUCGUGCCUUCGCCUCCGUCGUUUUCACGGCGAUCGCUUCCUGCGCAGCAGCGCAGACGCCGGGAGGCCCGGGAUCGGACAACUCUAUGGAUUUCUCGGACGUGAUGGCCAUCUCCUUCUUCAUGGCCAUUUUCUUCCCCGUCUUCGUCGUCCUCCUCGCGUUUGCCUGCCUCCGCCUGUACCGGCCGCCAGACGAACCCCCGGCCACCGAGAACUCUUCGUCGGAGUGGCCACACUCGCACCACAAGGAGGGCCUAGACGCCGCCGAGAUCGCGGCGCUGCCGCUAGUGUCCUACCGCGACGUCAAGCAGCACCGGAUCAGCGACGGCCGGAUCGACCCGCUGGAGUGCGCGGUUUGCCUCCUGGAGUUCGAUGACGACGACAGCCUGCGCCUCCUCCCGACGUGCCCGCACGCGUUUCACCCGCAGUGCAUCGGCCUCUGGCUCCGAGAAGCACGUCACGUGCCCGCUCUGCCGCGCCAGCGUCCUCGACCCGCCGCCGCCACUAGGGCCAGAUCAGGAGCUGGAAACGCCGGCGCCACCCGGCUCGCCGCCUGUUCACGAUCACCAUACGGUGGUGCUAAUCGAAGACGACCCCAGCCGCAGCGAGGAGGAGGAGGACAGUGCCAGGAUCCUCGCGAGGACGCGGCGCGAGGCCGGGCGUGA
rnacentral:rRNA from 1 species